CCUACGGGCGGCAGCAGUGGGGAAUAUUGGACAAUGGGCGAAAGCCUGAUCCAGCCAUGCCGCGUGUGUGAAGAAGGCCUUCGGGUUGUAAAGCACUUUCAGUGGGGAAGAAAGCCUUGGGGCUAAUACCCUCGAGGAAGGACAUCACCCACAGAAGAAGCACCGGCUAACUCCGUGCCAGCAGCCGCGGUAAUACGGAGGGUGCGAGCGUUAAUCGGAAUUACUGGGCGUAAAGCGCGCGUAGGCGGUCUGAUAAGCCGGUUGUGAAAGCCCCGGGCUCAACCUGGGAACGGCAUCCGGAACUGUCAGGCUAGAGUGCAGGAGAGGAAGGUAGAAUUCCCGGUGUAGCGGUGAAAUGCGUAGAGAUCGGGAGGAAUACCAGUGGCGAAGGCGGCCUUCUGGACUGACACUGACGCUGAGGUGCGACAGCGUGGGUAGCAAACAGGAUUAGAUACCCUGGUAGUC
rnacentral:rRNA from 1 species